UACCAGACUCCUACGGGAGGCAGCAGUGGGGAAUAUUGCACAAUGGGGGAAACCCUGAUGCAGCAACGCCGCGUGAGUGAAGAAGUAUUUCGGUAUGUAAAGCUCUAUCAGCAGGGAAGAAGAUGACGGUACCUGACCAAGAAGCCCCGGCUAACUACGUGCCAGCAGCCGCGGUAAUACGUAGGGGGCAAGCGUUAUCCGGAUUUACUGGGUGUAAAGGGAGCGCAGACGGCAGUGCAAGUCUGGAGUGAAAGCCCGGGGCCCAACCCCGGAACUGCUCUGGAAACUGUGCGGCCAGAGUACUGGAGGGGCAGGCGGAAUUCCUAGUGUAGCGGUGAAAUGCGUAGAUAUUAGGAGGAACACCAGUGGCGAAGACGGCCUGCUGGACAGUAACUGACGUUGAGGCUCGAAAGCGUGGGGAGCAAACAGGAUUAGAUACCCGCGUA
rnacentral:rRNA from 1 species